CUGCAGAAACACCCUGGGCAUACCUGUGAGGGAUGAGAAGGGCAGAGCCCAACGCAGGUGCUGCUCGAGCUCCAGGUGUUAGUGUGGUCCAGCCUAAACGCUGUGAGGCAGGGCCUAAUUCUCAGCCCAGCUCCUGCCCCUUUCUCCCCUCCACCCACAUUGAAUGUUACAAUUCAGUCCAAGGUAGGUUGCACAAUUUAUUUUCCUGUGCUUAAACCAGGAUUUUGGCAGUCAGGGUUGGGAGGCCUCUCUGAGGAGCGCUGGCUGGGCGCCCUCCUGUUGUCACGGUAUCAUGCUGCUGUCAAAGGCUCUGCUUCUGCUGGGUGUCUGUCCUUCAGCAUGGCCUUGUGCUGCAGCCUAGUGCUGCUGAAGGACACACUGCAUGGCCAAGGCACCACUGACAUCUUCAGCAAGUACAGGUGGAAGUGAUGGUCACCCCAGUGUGAGUUCUCCUGUGCCAGACUGAUGUGAGGCCCAUCAUGCCCAAUUACGAGUGGCAUGAUGUGUGUGGUGUGGCAACUCUAAGGAGGACUGAUCCUCUUCUUUACCUGCCCAUGCAGUAAGACACCAUUCUGUCCUUGAAGUAUCUCUUUGGUAGUCCUAGACACUUCUUUCCUACUGUCUCCAUCACCUUGCUUCCCUACAGCCAGCUGGUAAAGUCAUCUGGAUAAAGGGAGAGAAGGAGAUGCAGGAGAAUUACUGUGCUCAUUGCUGAAGGAAUAUGCAAAGGGAUUUGCUGUAAUGUUCACUGAUGGGUGUGAGGGAGGGAAAGGAUGUGAGUGCUAACUUAUGCUCUGUCAGCAUCAUUAAUGUCACUCACAUGAUUUAAUUGCUUUGCAAGGAGCAGUGGGUGAGGCUGAACAUACCCAGGGAUGGAGAAUGAGAUAGUUGGGAGUGAUGGAAGUGUCCUUGCCUAGUAAAGGGCAUAAGCGUGAUGUGGUCAAAACAGCUGGAGAAAAAUACCAGCUCUGCACAUGUGCUUGGCUGUGCUGGGCUUGGACUGGAUCUAGGAUGGAGAGUUGGGAAAUGCAAAGCCCAGAGUUUCAAAUAGCUGAGGCUGAAGGUACCUCACACCUAGGUGGAUUUUCCAGUAGAAAAGGCAAUGAAAACAGAAGAAACAGAUCAUGGUGGUAAAGUUGUGAGUUUGGGGAACGGGAAAAAAAUAAUGAAUUUACCCUUUGGAGCAGGGUGGAGAGGACUUGGAGGUGAUGUCCUAUUUUUGCUAUGAUGAUCUCGAGUUGGCAGUGGGACAUCCAGAAAGGUUUAUGAGGGGGAGAGGCUGGGUGGAGAUGUCAGCCUGUGAGUUCUCAGAGGAGGGAUGAGCUUACUAAGGAGAAGGUGUUGGGGGACUGAGGAUGAGGACCUGGUGCUGGGCCUGUGAGGCUGGAAUGGGGCUGAGCAUGUAGCAGGAUGCUGUGGUGGGGAGAGGCAUAGUGUGAUGUGGUCUGAUACAUGUGGGAUUCAGGGGACAGACAGAGUAGGUGGAGGGCCUUGGAAGAGGAGAACACAUAUAUCUUGGUCUAUGGUCACAGAGAAGUUAGUGUCUCCAUACACCUUGUUUCAGGAGAAGAGUGAGGCAUCUUUUUUUUUCACUGGAGACAAUUCCUUACCUGAGGCUGAAGCUGGAGUGGGGAAAAGAAGUGCUGGAGAAGUGGGAUCCACCAGGGGAAGAGAGAAGCUGUUGGAAGUAAGGGUUUUUCAGAGGCUCAGGCAUCAUUUUCUCCCAUCCUACCAUGGGAGGCCUUUCUGCAACAAGUUAAACUUAACAACAUAUCCCUCAAGCCCUGCCACCACAGAGGUCAAAGGGAGAGAAGACAUUGGUUUUACCACGAGCCUAUCAAAAGGUGAGCUUUGAGAGCACACAAAUGGAGAGCUACAGCUAAAGAAAGGAGACGAGGCAGGGUAUACAGCUGGACCAAGCAGCAGCACCUGCUGAAGCAAGAAGCUCCAGACUGUAGGGAACAGUGUGAAAAGGAUGCAGCCAAUGCUUCUGGCUUGGAGGAAGGACAAGGGACAAGCAAAAUGCACUUUGUGGGCUGCUUGGAGCAUACCUGGGUAUCAGGCACUGCAUCCACUCCAAAUCCAGCAAACUGCAUCACAGCGAUGUAGGCAAAAGGCAGCAGGUCCCUGACUUGGCAUCUAUGGGCAGUUCUUGCCCCCUCCCAGCUCAAGUGCACCUCAAGCCCACUGGCAGGAUGCUUCCAGCAGCACACAAGGUAGCUGUGGCUCCUUGGCUGUGGGCAGGACAGGGGAGCACUGUUCUAAGCAGAUGGAUAUUGAUGCCCUUUCUACAGGAGAAAGUCACAGACUUACUGAGAUCUAAAAUAAAUUGCCUCUUAAGCCAGUGGUGUGUCAAGUGGUUAAGGCAGAAGCAGGCUAUACUUCCACUGAUAGAAAAGCAGGGAUGCUGUCUGUGGUCCAAACACCAGCACCUCCUGAGAAGAGACUGGAGGAGGGACAAAAAGAGCUUUAGUGUUCUUUUUGCAUUGUCAGGAGGCCCCAUGUGGGCACCUCUCUUCCCAGCUAAGGACUCUUGGGAGGAGACCAGCGACCAUGAGGUGUCUGCAGCACAUUAUGGUUUUACACAGCCCAGUGGAGCUGAUUUCAAGACAGGAAAACCCCAUGGCUUGUUCAGCACAAACUUAAUAUUUAAUAGACAAAGUAAAUACGAAAACACAUUUCUGAACCCCCCUGUGGUGUUGAAACUUAGUUAUGAGAAGCACCAGAGCGCUGCAGAGCUAAACUAACCCUGGGUGGCAUUUGCAGGGCUUAGCUUUCAUUGCAGUCUGAAAAAAUCCCAUGUGCAGAGAUUAUCUCCAUGCUGUUUUGAAUUGUCUUGUUCAGCUUUGGCCCUCAUCCUAGAUGGACAAGGAGCAGAAGACUUGGCCAAUGGCCUGAGAUCUGUGACCUCCUCUGCAUGAACUGGAAAGGGAAGAACUGUCUCUAAGCACUCCAAAAGCAGCAGGAGCCCAUCCGACAGGAGCUGGCAUCACACAGGUCCCCAGAUAGCCAGACAGCAAGCACAUCUGCCGGCACAGGACACCAAGGGGCUCUGGCUUCAGCAAUACAUACAGCAAAGCAGAUAAAACAAAAUAAAAAAGCCAACAAUGAUCAGUUUUUUUAAA